GUAAUUAAAAAGGCGCCAGGACAGAAUUAUCAGAAAUUCCUGAUUUCUGUUGACGAGGUGAAGGAAGCGGUUCACUAAACAGACGUGGACCGUAUCGAAAGAUUCGGCGGAUACCUUCCGGUUGUUACAAUCGACAGAGGCUGAGGAGCAAUAAUUGUUCCGCACAAAACUUGCAGGCGACUGCAGGAACAAAAAGGUCUCACGUAA
rnacentral:ncRNA from 2 species